CCCAGACUCCUACGGGAGGCAGCAGUGGGGGAUAUUGCACAAUGGGGGAAACCCUGAUGCAGCGACGCCGCGUGGGUGAAGAAGCGCCUCGGCGCGUAAAGCCCUGUCAGCAGGGAAGAAAAUGACAGUACCUGACCAAGAAGCCCCGGCUAACUACGUGCCAGCAGCCGCGGUAAUACGUAGGGGGCAAGCGUUAUCCGGAUUUACUGGGUGUAAAGGGAGCGUAGACGGUUAUGUAAGUCUGGAGUGAAAGCCCGGGGCCCAACCCCGGGACUGCUUUGGAAACUGUGUAACUGGAGUACAGGAGGGGCAGGCGGAAUUCCUGGUGUAGCGGUGAAAUGCGUAGAUAUCAGGAGGAACACCGGCGGCGAAGGCGGCCUGCUGGACUGAAACUGACGUUGAGGCUCGAAAGCGUGGGGAGCAAACAGGAUUAGAUACCCGAGUACA
rnacentral:rRNA from 1 species